rnacentral:rRNA from 1 species
GACGAACGCUGGCGGCGUGCUUAACACAUGCAAGUCGAACGGAAAGGCCCUGCUUUUGUGGGGUGCUCGAGUUGCGAACGGGUGAGUAACACGUGAGUAACCUGUCCUUGACUUUGGGAUAACUUCAGGAAACUGGGUCUAAUACCGGAUAGGAGCUCCUGCUGCAUGGUGGGGGUUGGAAAGUUUCGGCGGUUGGGGAUGGACUCGCGGCUUAUCAGCUUGUUGGUGGGGUAGUGGCUUACCAAGGCUUUGACGGGUAGCCGGCCUGAGAGGGUGACCGGCCACAUUGGGACUGAGAUACGGCCCAGACUCCUCCGGGAGGCAGCAGUGGGGAAUAUUGCACAAUGGGCGGAAGCCUGAUGCAGCAACGCCGCGUGCGGGAUGACGGCAUUCGGGUUGUAAACCGCUUUCGCCUGUGACGAAGCGUGAGUGACGGUAAUGGGUAAAGAAGCACCGGCUAACUACGUG